GGGGGCGGGGAUAAAUCAGUCUCAUAAUAAGAUAGAUGGAGGAGAUGCGCCCGAUAGACGAGAAGGCUCGGUUACCGCUCCGAAAGAAAGGCAUCGGUAAGCCCCCAGAUGGAAGGGCUAGGGUGUGGUCUCAAUUCCAAACCCCAAGUGAGUCUUAAGCAAAAGAAAGGUAGGCAGAAAGAUCAUAAGUUUCAGACGCAACCG
rnacentral:misc_RNA from 1 species